rnacentral:rRNA from 1 species
UACAGAGGAGCCAAGCGUUGUCCGGAUUGACUGGGCGUAAAGCGCACGCAGGCGGAUGCGCGCGUGGGGUGUGAAAUCUGGCCGCUUAACGGCCAGGCGCCAUCCCAUACGGCGCGUCUGGAGUGAUGCAGAGGUCGGUGGAAUUGCCGGUGUAGUGGUGAAAUGCGUAGAGAUCGGCAGGAACACCCAGGGGGAAACCAGC